GCCCAGGCCCCCCGCGAGGGUGAAGAGGCUGUCGCCACCACCUGGCUGCAUCCUGGCCACUUUUCCUCUGCGUGGGGAGGGACGGCCUGGCCCGGCCGGCCGGCAGAAGAGCAGCCGUCUGCCUGUCCUCUGCGUCAUGGUCUCCAUGGACGCAGUGAAAGCAAACAGCGGCCCGGGCUGAGCGUCCUGCGCCGCGCGUCAGCUGAAGCGGAGGCGGUGUGUGUGAGUAACGGCCGCUCACAGGAAAAGCGGUUUGCAGAAGCUGUACUCGCUGGCUCCUAGCUCGGGCAGCUCCAGGCGUCCCUGUGCCUGUUGCCCCAGGCAGGGAGUGGGGAGGGACGCGCGCUCCCCAGGCCCCGGUCCGGCCGCGCCGGCGGCAUGUGGGGCGACCAAGCAGCGCGGGCCUGGGUGUCUGAGGAGCUGCGGGAGGCGCUGUGGGGACGCAGCCGGACCCUGCGUCCUCUCCAAAGUGGGGCCCUGGAGGCGUUCGGUGAGUCUGCGCCUGGGAGCCCUUGGGGCAGAAUCUGCUCAGUGUCAGCCGGGCUCCUGGGCCCUCGAGUCUGCCUGGAUGGAAUCAGUGAGUCAGUCAAGAAGCACGAAGCUCCUGGACGGUGUCCACAUUUGUCCUGUGGAGGAGGAGCCCCGACUGCCCCUGCCCUCCAGGAAUCAGCUUGAGGGCCAGCCCUUCUGCAGGCUCCAGCACUGGGGGACAUCCUGGAGGCGCCGCCGGCGUGGGGCUGGCGUCCUGAGUGGUUGUCCUUGGUUUCUUCUGCUUUCAGGUCCUCUCUGAGGGAGAGAAAGGCCUGGGCUGCAGGGCUCAGGCUGCGUGGGUGCUCAGUUGUCCCUGGAGAAGUCCGGCCGAAGGGUGGGGCCGAACCCAGUGUCGCUGUGGGCCUGGGAGGGACAGGCGUGGAGGGGGGGCUCUCAGGGCAGGGUGAAGGGCCAGAGCCCCAGGGCUCCCCGCGUCACCACAGCCCUGGGCCAGCACAGAGGUGACCCCAGGAGCCCUCCCCAGACAGAGUCCUGCCUCCUUGCCUGGGGCACUUCCCAGGAGUGAGUGAGGUGAUGUCUCCAGCUGGGGACUCUGCAAGGCUCUCUGCAGGUUUGGGGCAGCAGUCGGUUCCCCUUUCCACCCAGAAGAGAGUGUGGCUCCAGGAGAGAGGAACACGCGAGUUGAGGCAGAUGAGAGCGCUGAGUGACAGAGCUGUAGGAAAGGCGGGAGGGGACUCAGCCCCAGAAAGGUGGUUCGGGGUCGGUGACCAGGUGGCCAGGACUGAGGAUGCCUGGUCAUCAAGGGCCAGGCUCGCUGCCUCUGCUUCACCCAUGCAGCCUCACCAUUGCUGCCUUGAUAAUUUUCUUUAUGUAGAUAUUUUUUUUUGGUAUGGGAGAUCGAAUCAGGACCUUGCACUUUCGAGGCAGGCGGUGGAACCACUGAGCUAAAUCCCCGGCCUUCUUUAUGCAGAUUUUAAAAAACAAUUUAAUAGGGCCGGGGAUUUAGCUCAGUGGUUUCCCUGCCUGCUGCGCAAGUGCAAGGACCAGAGUUCAAUCCCCAGCACUAAAAAAAAAAAAAGUAAUAAAAAGAAAUCUUCAGCUGGGUGCAGUGGUGCACACCUGUCAUCAUUCCAGCACUCCGGGAGGCUGAGGCAGGAGAAUCACUUAGUGAGAUUCUAUCUCAAAAAAUAAAAAGGGCUGGGGAUACAGCUCAGUGUGAAGGCCCGGGGUUCAAUCCUCAGUACUGAACAAUAACAGAAAAAGAAAGAUCUUUAUCAGGACUAUAUACAAAGCCCAAUAUUUUCUUGGAAUACCCUGAAAUAUGUCUACCACUGUUCAAAGUAAUCACCACGUAGGACUAGAGUCACCUCAAAUGCCACCCUACUUUGUACAAGAUGAGGGGACGUCAGGGUGACCUCCUGGGAGGUGUGCAGUGUGGAUGCCCCAAGUUGACACUGAGAAGUUCGGCACGAGGAGGCUGAGCGCCGCUGGGGUCCAGAGGAGGCCCGGGCCUGGAAUGUUGUCUGCCCUCAGCCGACCAUCUCAGGAAAAGCCUGCUCCAUCUUCGGUUGCUGGGACACAGCACCUGGGCCCAGGGGAAGCCUGGAAAAAAUGGAAGUAGAGAGAAGGUCUGCAGGACCUUACAGAGGGGCAAACAUUUCCAGAGCAGAAGACUGAAAGCACUCACCAGCGAAGCAAAUCAACCACUGGCUUUUCUCAAAAUUAAAAGCCUCUCUCAGGCAAAAGCCACCAUGAAAUACAGCAGGUUUCAGACUCAGAGAGUUGGGCCUGUGGUGCACGUAGUUGCCUGUGUGUUUCCAGGCUUGAUGAAGAACCACUGUAAGUCAGUACGAAGAAGACAAAUAAUAAAAUAUAACAAAAAUAAAUAAGCAGGAGACUCACAUAGGUACUCCCCAAAGAGGACACAGGACAGCCCCACACUGGACAUCACUGCAAGGAAAGGGCAAAUGAAGGCCACAGGAGACACCGAACACCCGUCUGGGGAAGCGAGGAGGCCGGCCAGCGGCAGCUGAGGACCUGGGGCAAACACCACCACCAGGUCCCAGGGGGCGAGCGGAGACCGGCCAGCCCCAGGCGACGGGUCAGCAGAUUCCAUCCUGUGCCAGCAGGAAGAUCCGCACGCGAAAGUCCCAGGGGUUUUCUUGGGAUGCCCAAGUCCAUCCCCAGGACUGGAGGGCAGCAACAGUGCAUGCAGACCUGGGAGGGUCCGCGCUCUGUGCCCCAUGCCACGAGGCUGAGCUGCAGGCAAAGCCACCCAGCCCUGUCUGUCUCGGGGGAGUGGACAGCAGGUGUGAGGGAGGAGCUUCCGGGGCGCGGGAGACCCCACAUCUGGACUGGGUGUGGCUCGUGUGGGUGCACGAGCGUGACAGAUGACCGAGCUCUUCGUUAGGGUGAGCGUUUCAUGCUCUACUGAACGCGUAUGAGACUUGUCACAUGCCUGUGUGCCAGGGAAGUAGUGACCCCUACUGGGCACUUACCACACAAGCUUGCCUGGCACAGGCCAUUUCCCCCGUCUUCCAGACCACCCAUCAGCCAGGCAUCGCUCUCACUUUAGAGGGGAUGCCAGGCUUCUGGGAUGGACGGCUUGUGAGCCUCUCAGGGGUCGGAGUGGGGUGGGGCUUGAACCCGCGUCUGUGUGGUCAGGGGUCCCGAGCGGUUCUCGGUACAGCACUGGUUUCCGAGGUUGCGAUGCUGCUCUUUAAUAAUCAAAGGGGGCUUCACCAUGAGCCUGAUACCCCAGGAACCCCAAAGGCCCCGCCCUCUGAGACGCGGGAGCACUGGGCUCCACCCAGGAGUUCACCCCACCACCGGGUAAGGGCCUCGCAGCUCCUCUGGGAGCUCGGGGCGGCACAGGAGGUCCGGGCUGCCCGUGCCCAGUCCUGCCGUCCUCUGACAGAGGCUUGCUUAGCACCUCCCCUCUGGGUGGAUCCGUUGGCGGUGCUCUUACAGAGUGCUUGGAGCUGAGUACUUUCUAAAGCAGAGGUUUGCUUAGUGCGCAGCUCUGGGGGUUCAGGGCCCCAGAAGGGUGCACGGGGACUGCACUCAGUGGGAGGCGGCCAGGCCAGCCGGUCUUACUCCUUCCUGGCAACUGUCUAGAGUCGGGGGACUGUGUCCCAGAGGACUAAGUUCCUUCCAGGCAGCACCCUCUGAGGUACUGUGCAGAUGGUGCCUCCACAGCAGGCGCCAUGCUGAGGCCGGGCAGGAUCGUGCCCCAGUGAGGAGGGUGGUGGUGAUCUGGCCCAUCACGUGGCUCGGGUGGGCCUUGAACCCGCCACUCUGGUCCCAGGGGCAGUGAGGGGUCACGCGGGGCUGGGUGUGAGGGAGUGGGUGCCGUCCUGCAGCCGCUGCUGGGCUUCAGGAGGCAGAGGACAGGAAGGGUCGCCAUGGCGCUGACUGAGGGCCCGGUGUGCGGACCUCGAGGGCCGAGAGGCUUCCUGUGGCAGGCGGAAGCCUGGGCUGCCUCCUGCAUCCCCACCCGAGAACGUCCUGUGCUGUUUCCCUGAGCUUCCUUCCCACCCGCCCGCCUGAGGCCACACCGGCCCCAUCCCCAGGCUGCCGCCCAGGCCCCUCCCGCAGGCUCUGGGCAGGGACUUCGUCCUGGCUCCUGGUUUUAUGGUGACGUGCAAAUAGGUUUUGAACUCCAGUCCCUCUGGGGUUGUUUUACAGGGCUGUCCAAGUGCUGGAAGAAAACCGCCCCUCUGAACGUUGUUUUUGUGCUGUUCCUUGGAGCAUUGUUCUAAAAAUGGGAAAUGACAUGCUGCUGUGCCAAAGGAAACAAACACCUGCCGCUAAUGGCCACCUUCCCCAGGGUGGCCACUCGGAGCCCAGCUCAGCCCUGCGUGUGGACCGGGUCUCCCCUGAUGCGGGACAGGCAUGGGCUCAGGUCUGUGACCCACCACGUGGGCACGGGCAGCCCUGGCUUGCAGGGGGAGCGUCCCGCAGGCGCCCAUUCUGGCCAGCUCUGCCAUCAGUGCUGUGCCCUCCCGCUCGCCAGAGCCCGGGUUAGGUAGGUUAGGGUCCGGUCGGCGGCCACAGGCAGCCAGGUGCCGUUCCCCAGUCCCAGAGUCACGCCUGGAGCCUCAGCCCAUCCCUCCUUCCGCUUCCUCCCUUCUCACUCUUUCUUUCUUCUCUUUUUUUGUUUGGUACUGGGGAUUGAACUCAGGACCUUGCACUUGUGAGUCAGGCACGGUGCCACUGAGCUGAAUCCCCGGCCCUGGAAUGUAACUUUUAACAGGUCGACCAACGCAUUUCUUUGGGCUCACAACUUUUCCAAGUGUUCUGUCCCUUUGAAAACGGAUACAGUCUGAAAUUCCUGUUUUGGGAUCCUCUGGUUAAAAGUUAACAUCCACCAACAUUGCUAUAAUUGUGUAAUGAUCAGACCUUGAAAAGGAUCAAGAAUGAAAUGAGCACAUUUCAGAUGGAUUUGUGGUUUAGGAAGAAUCUGUUAUUGUAAGGUGAUUUCAUCUUCAUCUGGAAACAGAAGCAGGGAUCACAGGCCCAGGGAGCCCCAAACUUCGUGGAAUUUUGGGUGGAACUUCCGGCCUGCCCUGGGAGCGGAUUUCUCAAGCAGUGGUGGUGGCUGGAGGUCAUGGGGGGUCUUUUGGGGUCUGGGGUCAUCUCUCUGGGACCUCUCAGGUACCGCCCUGGUCCUGCCUAGAAGCAGUGUCCUGCCCCGUACUCGGUUUAGGGACUCAGUUUCCACCCGAGGGUCAAAUGUAGGAUCCUAGUGGUGUGACCCAGCACACAGUGCACAUUCACACUACAGCAGCUUCUUUUCCUUCUGCUACUUGGAUUUUCUAAAUUCUCUACAUGAGCAGUGAGAUAGCAAACAUGGGAUUCAUGCCUGCUCGGGCUCCUGUCCUGGAGAGGGUGAAGAGGCAGAUGGAAGGAAGGGGGCCCAG
ensembl:lncRNA